rnacentral:rRNA from 1 species
AAAGCUAGGGGAUCGUACGGGAUUAGAAACCCCGGUAGUCCUAGCCGUAAACGAUGUAUCCUGGUUCUGGGGGGUAUAGAUCCCCUCCGUGCCGAAGCUUACGCGUUAAGCAUCCCGCCUGGGGAUUACGUCCGCAAGGCUUAAACUCAAACGAAUUGACGGGGGCCCGCACAAGCAGCGGAGCGUGUGGUUUAAUUCGAUGCUACACGAAGAACCUUACCUGGGCUUGACAUGUAGGUAGUAGUGAAGCGAAAGCGGAACGACCCUUCGGGGAGCCUACACAGGUGCUGCACGGCUGUCGUCAGUUCGUGCCGUGAGGUGUCGGGUUAAGUCCCGUAACGAACGCAACCCUUGCCCUUAGUUACAUGUGUCUAAGGGGACUGCCCGGGACAACUGGGAGGAAGGUGGGGAUGACGUCAAGUCAGCAUGGCCUUUAUGUCCAGGGCUACACACACGCUACAAUGGCCGGUACAAUGGGUCGCCAAGCCGUGAGGCGGAGCCAAUCCCCCAAAGCCGGUCUAAGUUCGGAUUGUGGGCUGCAACUCGCCCAUAUGAAGCUGGAGUUGCUAGUAACCGCGCGUCAGCAAUAGUGCGGUGAAUACGUUCCCGGGCCUUGACACACCGCCCGUCACGUCAUGGAAGCUGGCAACACCUGAAGCCAGUGAGCUAACCCGCAAGGG